AACAUUUUAAGAGUGUAGUUGAACUGUUUGGUUGGAUUAUUUGGCCUAGCGUCAAUUCGUCGCGUUUCUGGCUGCCGGUUUUAAAUAUAGUACCAAAUGUCGCCGGCUUCGAGUUGUCGACUCACGGGGCUGUUUUAUUGUAUCAUCCUCCUCCUUCACCUGAUGUUGCUCUGAUAAUGUUGCGUUGUCUAUAAGUGGCAGUUUGUCAAUUCUCCUCGCAUAUCAUGGCAGAAAUGUCUGACUGUGGCAGUUCCUUCAAUCAAUAUCCACACCUGAUAAGCCCAGUAUUCUUUCAACCUUCGCAAUUCAUUUAACCUAUCCUUCAUUUUAUUCUGUACCGGAAUUUGAGACAUUUUUAUGAUUUGUUCUUACAACCAUCAACCCCAGUUUCGUUUAUCAACUUAUUACGAGCAUUUCAAAACAAAAAUUCCACAACUCUUACAAGCACUUCGAUAACGAAAAAAAAUGACGAAGUAUCGCAUUAUUUUAUUUGUUAUUAUGGUUGUAUUUGGUAGUUUCAAUUUGAAUAAAUUACAUUUAGGGUAUAAAACUUUAUCCAAAAUCAACGAAUACAAAACUCGAUAUAUUUGGAAUCGAAAACUUUCAGCCCUCAACGAAUGUCUGAACAGAAAUCUAGUUCAUGACUUGCGAACUCAUCCAGAUGCGCCAGUGAAUAAAAUGCUCAAUGAAACCGAAAUAAUUGUUCACAACUUGACAAGCUUUAAAGGCUGUCGACCCGAGCUGCCGAGAUAUCGUAUUCUCUUCAUUUUCAGUCGACUGCAGAGUGUGGAACUUCGCUCUGUUAUUCGAAAGACUUAUGCUAAUAUCAGCGCGUAUUCUGAAGGAAAGGAUCACCUUAAAGUGAUUCAGAGGGGGGGCACUAUUC